UUUUGUUACGUCUUUUCCGAGAAAGCUUUUUCGCCCGGCUAUAUGAAGAUAAUGAUAAUAGUGAUUACGUCAUAUGAACGAUUCUACUGGCAGGCAGAGUUGGUUAUAAAUGUGAACGUUGAAUCGUUUCUAAAAACAGAUGAUGUGUUACUAGACACUUGUGCGGUAACUUCGGUUAGUUCUUUUUUUUUUUCUGCAUUCGGAUACAUUUUUUCGUAUCCUCAUUUACAAGAAGCAUUUUGCAAAAUCGACGACAGUGAAGAAAAUAAGACAAUUUUUGACAAAGAAUACAAAAAUACACUGGGACAAAUAAAUAGGAGUGAAAUUACAACGAAAUAAAAUAAAAUAAGACAAACGUAGAAGAAACUACGAGUUUAUUCGAAGUUGCCGUUGUUCGAAAGCUGUUCAAAAGAAGAAACGAAAAAAAAAAACCAAAAAAAAAAAA